rnacentral:rRNA from 1 species
GUUUCCGUAGGUGAACCUGCAGAUGGAUCAUCGUCGAUACCUUAUAGGUACAUGCUGAUCACGAGAUGCCGAUAAUCAUGGAAUCAGGCUUGUUCUUGGUUCCAGUCGGUGUCUCACCCCAUCUAAGCUCUCGGUGAGGUGUCUAUUCUUGAUUGGAGCCGCUUUGAGUGACGGCAAUGAUAGUUGGGUAUGUUCCCCGUGAGGGUAGAGCAUAGACUUUAUGAACAGAGCUGGGCUGUCGCCUCACCAAAAACCAUCGAUAACUGGUGGCUGAGUGAGAAAUCACUGGAUCUGCUAUGCAGGGAGCCUUAAUGAGUUGGUCUUCACCGACACAACCGCCACUAUCGGUAAUCUAUUCCCAAUUAACUUGUUUCUAGUAAAAGGCUAAAUUAGUCAGUGGAAAAUAGCCUUAGCGAUGGAUCGGUUGAUUCGCGUAUCGAUGAAAAACGCAGCUAGCUGCGUUAUUUACCACGAAUUGCAGACGCUUAGAGUGGUGAAGUUUUGAACGCACAGCGCCGUUGGGUUUUCCCUUCGGCACGUCUGGCUCAGGGUUGUUUAAUAGACUUCGAUAUUGCUAGGAAGGCAGCAAUAUCGUGCACCGAACGGUGAUAGUGUCUAUAAAAUAGUGGUGCAUACCCCGUUUUAGGGUAAAAUAAAGGUCGUAAACUGAAACUUCUUCCGCCCGAGAAGUUAUAGGUAAUACUUAUGGAUGUGCCAUGUAUGAAAUAUGACGUGGUUAUAUACAUAAAUAGUAUUUCCUUGAAGUCUCAUUAUGCAACCUGAGCUCAGUCGUGAUUACCCGCUGAACUUAAGCAUAU